GAUGAACGCUAGCGGCAGGCUUAAUACAUGCAAGUCAAGGGGGUAGCAAUACAACCGGCGCACGGGUGAGUAACGCGUACACAACAUACCAUAUACUGGAGUAUAGCUUUAGGAAACUGAAGGUAAUCCUCCAUAACAUUGCGAGAGGGCAUCUGAUUGCAAUUAAAGUUCCGACGGUAUAUGAUUGGUGUGCGUUUGAUUAGCUAGUUGGUAGGGUAACGGCCUACCAAGGCGACGAUCAAUAGCUGGCGUGAGAGCGCGACCAGCCACACUGGAACUGAGACACGGUCCAGACUCCUACGGGAGGCAGCAGUAGGGAAUAUUGGACAAUGGGCGAAAGCCUGAUCCAGCCAUGCCGCGUGAUAGAUGAAGGCCCUCUGGGUUGUAAAUAUCUUUUAUCUGGGAAGAAACUCCUCUAUUCUUAGAGGCCUGACGGUACCAGAGGAAUAAGCACCGGCUAACUCCGUGCCAGCAGCCGCGGUAAAG
rnacentral:rRNA from 1 species